rnacentral:rRNA from 1 species
ACGAGUGGCGGACGGGUGAGUAACACGUGGGUAACCUGCCCUUAAGUGGGGGAUAACAUUUGGAAACAGAUGCUAAUACCGCAUAAAUCCAAGAACCGCAUGGUUCUUGGCUGAAAGAUGGCGUAAGCUAUCGCUUUUGGAUGGACCCGCGGCGUAUUAGCUAGUUGGUGAGGUAACGGCUCACCAAGGCAAUGAUACGUAGCCGAACUGAGAGGUUGAUCGGCCACAUUGGGACUGAGACACGGCCCAAACUCCUACGGGAGGCAGCAGUAGGGAAUCUUCCACAAUGGACGCAAGUCUGAUGGAGCAACGCCGCGUGAGUGAAGAAGGCUUUCGGGUCGUAAAACUCUGUUGUUGGAGAAGAAUGGUCGGCAGAGUAACUGUUGUCGGCGUGACGGUAUCCAACCAGAAAGCCACGGCUAACUACGUGCCAGCAGCCGCGGUAAUACGUAGGUGGCAAGCGUUAUCCGGAUUUAUUGGGCGUAAAGCGAGCGCAGGCGGUUUUUUAAGUCUGAUGUGAAAGCCCUCGGCUUAACCGAGGAAGUGCAUCGGAAACUGGGAAACUUGAGUGCAGAAGAAGACAGUGGAACUCCAUGUGUAGCGGUGAAAUGCGUAGAUAUAUGGAAGAACACCAGUGGCGAAGGCGGCUGUCUGGUCUGUAACUGACGCUGAGGCUCGAAAGCAUGGGUAGCGAACAGGAUUAGAUACCCUGGUAGUCCAUGCCGUAAACGAUGAAUGCUAGGUGUUGGAGGGUUUCCGCCCUUCAGUGCCGCAGCUAACGCAUUAAGCAUUCCGCCUGGGGAGUACGACCGCAAGGUUGAAACUCAAAGGAAUUGACGGGGGCCCGCACAAGCGGUGGAGCAUGUGGUUUAAUUCGAAGCAACGCGAAGAACCUUACCAGGUCUUGACAUCUUUUGAUCACCUGAGAGAUCAGGUUUCCCCUUCGGGGGCAAAAUGACAGGUGGUGCAUGGUUGUCGUCAGCUCGUGUCGUGAGAUGUUGGGUUAAGUCCCGCAACGAGCGCAACCCUUAUGACUAGUUGCCAGCAUUUAGUUGGGCACUCUAGUAAGACUGCCGGUGACAAACCGGAGGAAGGUGGGGAUGACGUCAAAUCAUCAUGCCCCUUAUGACCUGGGCUACACACGUGCUACAAUGGAUGGUACAACGAGUUGCGAGACCGCGAGGUCAAGCUAAUCUCUUAAAGCCAUUCUCAGUUCGGACUGUAGGCUGCAACUCGCCUACACGAAGUCGGAAUCGCUAGUAAUCGCGGAUCAGCACGCCGCGGUGAAUACGUUCCCGGGCCUUGUACACACCGCCCGUCACACCAUGAGAGUUUGUAACACCCGAAGCCGGUGGCGUAACCCUUUUAGGGAGCGAGCCGUCUAAGGUGGGACAAAUGAUUAGGGUGAAGUCGUAACAAGGUAGCCGUAGGAGAACCUGCGGCUGGAUCACCUCCUUUCU